GCCAUGGGGAAGCCGGGCGUGGAGGCAGCACCGGGCUCGGAGCUGGCCAGGGUUCCCUAGCCUAUGGAGCACGCAGCCACCACAGGCCCCAGGCCUGGACCUCCCUCUCGGCGGGUGGAGAAUGUUGUGCUACGAGCCAAGGACUGGCUGCCAGGAGCUCCUGGGGGCACCGCAGUGUGGGCCACCAGCUUGGAAGCAGAGGUCCCACCAGAUCUAGCGCUCAAUAAGGAGCAGCAGCUGCAGAUCUCCAAGGAGCUGGUCGACAUUCAGAUCACAACCCACCACCUACAUGAGCAGCACGAGGCUGAAAUCUUCCAGCUGAAGAGUGAGAUCCUUCGGCUGGAGAGCCGGGUACUGGAGCUGGAGCUGCGAGGAGAUGGCACCAGCCAGGGCUGUGCAGUCCCAGUGGAGUCUGACCCCAGGCACCCCCGGGCAGCAGCCCAAGAGCUCAGACACAAAGCCCAGGUGCCUGGACACUCUGAUGACCACAGAUUCCAGGUGCAGCCCAAGAACACCAUGAAUCCCGAGAAUGAGCAGCACAGGCUGGGGAGCGGCCUGCAGGGGGAAGUGAAGCGGGUGCUGGAGCGUCAGGAGGCCUGGCAGCAGGCACUGGUGACGCGUGUGUGAGUGGCCAUCUCACCUGGGGCCCCAUCCUGGAGCAGAGAGAACCCCUGAUCGUGGGCCUGCUGAGCCUCACCCCCGUGUCUUCAGGGCAACCCUGGGCCGGCAGCUGCAGGGAGCCCGAGAGGAGGCCAGGGCAGCCGGGCAGCGACUGGCCACACAGGCUGUGGUGCUGUGCAGCUGCCAAGGCCAGCUCCGUCAGGCAGAGGCCGAAAAUGCCCGGCUGCAGCUGCAGCUCAAGAAACUGAAGGAUGAGUACGUCCUACGGCUUCAGCACUGCGCCCGGCAGGCAGUGGUGAGCCCUGCAGGAGCACCCUGAGGCCUAGGGAGCCCAAGCCUGGCCUGGGUGUGCUGGAUAGCUUCAGGGAGACCCCAGGGCCCCAGCACUGCUCAGCCUGCUGGGGUGGGGGGAUGGUUGGAAAAGAUGGGGGGUGGGCCCCAUGCGGACCCAGCCCGCCGCCUCCAGGAGCACGCAGAUGGUGCAGGCCAAGCACCAGCCACCACGGCCCUCCGGACAUUCCUGGAGGCGACUCUGGAGGACAUCCGGGCAGCGCACCGCAGCCGUGAGCAGCAGCUGGCCCGGGCUGCCCGCAGCUACCACAAGAGGCUGGUGGAUCUGAGCCGCAGGCAUGAGGAGCUGCUGGUUGCCUACAGGGCACCUGGGAACCCCCAAGCUAUUUUUGACAUAGCCAGCUUGGACCUGGAACCAUUGCCCGUGCCCCUGGUCACUGACUUCAGCCAUCGGGAGGACCAGCACGGCGGGCCUGGGGCACUGCUCUCAUCCCCAAAAAAGAGACCCGGUGGAGCCUCCCAGGGGGGAACGUCAGAGCCACAGGGCCUGGACGCUGCAUCCUGGGCCCAGAUCCACCAGAAGCUCCGGGACUUCUCCCGCAGCACCCAGGUAGGAGGCAAGGGCUGGCCCAGGCCCCUCCUCACACCAUGCCCUAGCUCAUGGCUUACAUCCCCAUGCCAGGCAGAGCUGGAACGGGAGCGGGCACAGCUGCUGGUCCGGGCCACGAUGGCUGAAGAGCAACUUUCUGAGCUACAGGAGUACGUGGACCAGCACCUGGGCAGGUACAAGCACGAAAUCCUGAGGCUGAGGAAGCUGGCAGGUGCAGGGGACCCCUGGAAAGUGGGGGCUGUGCCUCCAGCCAAGCCCCAGCAUCCAAGGACCGGCAGCCACUAGGCCGUCUCCCAAGGAGCAGAGCAGAGCCCGUCAGCCAGCACAGAACCCUCCCACCCAGCCCCCCAUAAAACAUGAGUCAGGAUAGAACCCA
rnacentral:sRNA from 1 species